ensembl:snoRNA small nucleolar RNA, H/ACA box 19
UUGCACAUUUCAUUGUCCUAUCUUUUUUGUCUUUGAGAGGUGGGAUAUUUCUGAUGUGCUAUAGAAAUUGUGGAGGCAAAUUAGCAGUGUGGCUGCACAGUGCCAAUGCUGCCAGUCUCCUUCAGACAGCU